AACGGGGAGGAGCCCAGAGCCUGAAUCAGCAUGUGUGUUAGUGGAAGCGUCUGGAAAGGCGCGCGAUACAGGGUGACAGCCCCGUACACAAAAGCGCAUGUGCUGUGAGCUCGAUGAGUAGGGCGGGACACGUGGUAUCCUGUCUGAAUAUGGGGGGACCAUCCUCCAAGGCUAAAUACUCCUGACUGACCGAUAGUGAACCAGUACCGUGAGGGAAAGGCGAAAAGAACCCCGGCGAGGGGAGUGAAAAAGAACCUGAAACCGUGUACGUACAAGCAGUGGGAGCCCCACCACCAAAGCAUUCUCUGGUGUUGAAGGCCCUGCAAAGCAGCAUCGCGGUGGCGGAGCGUCGUUUGCGACGCCCAACACACAAAACAAGCGGUGAGUGCUUUGGGGUGGGGUGACUGCGUACCUUUUGUAUAAUGGGUCAGCGACUUAUAUUCUGUAGCAAGGUUAACCGAAUAGGGGAGCCGGAGGGAAACCGAGUCUUAACCGGGCGUUAAGUUGCAGGGUAUAGACCCGAAACCCGGUGAUCUAGCCAUGGGCAGGUUGAAGGUUGGGUAACACUAACUGGAGGACCGAACCGACUAAUG
rnacentral:rRNA from 1 species